UACGGAGGGUGCAAGCGUUAUCCGGAUUCACUGGGCUUAAAGGGAGCGUAGGUGGGCUUGUAAGUCAGUGGUGAAAUCUCUGGGCUUAACCCGGAAACUGCCAUUGAUACUAUAGGUCUUGAAUUCUCUGGAGGUAAGCGGAAUAUGUCAUGUAGCGGUGAAAUGCUUAGAUAUGACAUAGAACACCCAUUGCGAAGGCAGCUUACUACGGAGACAUUGACACUGAGGCUCGAAAGCGUGGGGAUCAAACAGG
rnacentral:rRNA from 1 species